UAAAAGCACCAGCCUAACAACACGAAUCUACAUUCAUUUUCAAUGUUUUACCAUGUUUCAAAAAAUCACAGGACAGAUAUAUAUUUUCAGCACAAGAUAUAAUUCAACCAAAUGCCAUGUGAAUCAUUCCUUUAAAGAGAUGAUUCUAUUUAAGGUAGCACACCAGUCUACUUCUUGCAGAUUUGCGAUGAUCAUAUUGAAAUAGCUAUAACUUUGCUAUUUUAAAAGAUAUUAUAACAUAUGCAGUAUCGUUUUGAAGGAGAUAUAGUCAAGGUGAAGAAGCAUUCAAGAGAAUUUGGUAAAACCACCUGACCUGCAUGUUUCUAAAUGACUAUAUUUGGAAGAAAAUCAAUACCAUUUGUAUAAGAAAAUUAGCGUUGUCAGUUUAAGAGAUACUAAAUGUAUGCUACAAAACCGUGUCUCAAAUUUUAUAUCAGGUCCAGUUAAAAAUUUGAAUAUUUUGGAUCUAUAAGGUUAAUCGAACAAAACAAGAUCCAGCCAUUAUUCUACAAAAAGACAUGAUAUUAGAAAUCUGCGACGCAGUUUUGUAGCUUUUAUCAUGUGCUUAAUUAUGCAAAAUAAUACUACUUGGAUGCUGCAAACCUGAAAGUGUUACUUAGUAAAUAUGAAAAUAGAAAGGUAUGAAAAAUAUUCAAAUUUUCCCCAAUAUCGCACGUUUUUAAUAUUUCCUUAUUCUUCAUAUGAAUAGAUAAAGGCAACAGUAGUAUACCGCUGUCCAAUGAUCAUAAAUCGAUUAAGCGAAAACAAAUUCGGGUUACAAACUAAAACCGAGGGAAACACAUCAACUAUAAGAGGAAAACAACGGAACAACAGAAAUACUGAACUGCAACAAAAACAAACGCCAACAUACAUAGAAACGGACUAUUUGAUAACAACUGCCAUAUUCCUGACUUGGUACAGGACAUUUAAAGACAAAAUGGUAGGUUGAAUCUGGUUUUAUGGCUAGCCAAACCUCCCACUUAUAUGGCAAUGUUAAAAAUACCGCUAAAAUUACAACACUACGUGACAGGAAUACAGUACAAACAAACGCAGGAACACUCAGCACAGAGAAAUACAUAAAUAAAUAAUAUAAUAGUACAUUACAACAUGUAAACCGCAGAAUAACAACGGACACCUUCAAUGAAUUUACGACAGCACACUAGGACACCACAAACGAAGUAUAAACUGCGCGUCACAUGAAUGGAUCAACGCAACAAAAAGUAACGUAUUUUAUGUGACGUUUAUAUUAUCACAGGUAAAUUUCUAAAAAAUGAAAUAGAUUUGUUUUAUUGACACGUUAAAGAAUAUUAAAUUUGGAUUGAGUUUGAAAUGGUGUUAUUUUAUGUAUUUUCAAACCAUGACAAGAAUAUUAAAAUGGAAUUGUGUUUGUAAAAGUGUUAAUAUUUGUAUUUUCUAACCAUAUCGGUUUUUCUUCUAAAACAAAACUGUGUAUGAACAAAAAAAUCCUGUGCAUAUAGCUGCUUUAAAAUUAAAAAUGAUAUAAAUGAAA